AUAAAAAUUUUAGUAUUUACUAUUUCACGAAAUAAGAUGAGCUAAAAGCUAAAAUUGUUAGGAUUGACUUUGUGUGUUGCAUCACACAGAAAUUAUUAACUUUUAGGGGUGAUAUGUCUUCAAGUCUUAGAUAACUUGAUCUACAGGAAAAAUAUUAAGUAUUAAGUCAAAUUAAAAAUGCUAAGGUUUUUAAUAUAUAUAAUUAUAGAUUAAAAUUCUUCAACAUGUAUAAAAGCAUUUGAUCCCUUAAUAACAUAAUUUAUUACUAGGACAUAUAUCAAACACUAUAUUUUAUAUUUAAAUUUAUAUUUACAUAAAUAAUGUUACUAUUAGUAGUGGAAUAAUUUUUGUUAAGGAACUCGGCAAACAUAUACUUCUCAACUGUUUAUCAAAAACAUUGCUUUAUGCUUUUCUAUAAAGUUUACCCUGCUCAAUGAUAAAUUAAAUAGCCGCAGUACCUUGACUGUGCAAAGGUAGCAUAAUCAUUUGGCUUAUAAUUGAAGUCUAGUAUGAAUGGGAAUAUGGGUAGUUACUGUCUCACCAUAACAAAACGAAUUUGCUUAUUAAGUGAAAAUUCUUAUAACUAAAUAAUAGACGAGAAGACCCUAGAAAUUUUAUAUAUUAUGUACUACAAUCUAUUUUGUUGGGGCGACAGAACAACAUGCAACUUGUUUAUAAGUAUAUGACCUUAUUGAAUAGUAUAAUUAAAUUACUCUAGGGAUAACAGCAUAAUACAAAAGAGUUUGUGACCUCGAUGUUGGACUAGGGAUGUUAUUGUGUAAAAGACAAUAAACAUAGCUCUGUUCGAGCUGAAACCCCUACAUGAUC
rnacentral:rRNA from 1 species